CAGGCAGAUUUAGCGAGCCCUGGGAUGACUACUCCUUCACCGUCUACGGCAGGUGAAGCGGCGAUUUCUGCUGUGCCUGCGAAAAGGGGUAGAGGAAGACCGCCUGGUUCUAAAACCAAGAAGAUAAGUGUUUGGUUCAGCAGAUAUUGGACCUAUGCAAUCAAUCGCAGGCGAGCAAGGUAGAAGCUGGGGAGGUGUGCCUCUCUUUUGAUAAGCAUGUAUUGUUAGCUGCUUCUCAGGAUGUAUUGGCCAAAAUAGUGUCAUUCUGCAAAGGUACUGUUCCCGAUCAUUUAUCUGUCUGGUUUCUUCUUUGUCUUGGAAUCUGGUGCUACUUGAUGGUGAAGCAGAUGGUUAUAUCAAUGUGGCAGGGCUCCUUACAGCAGCAACUGAUGUUCAGGUUAUUGUUGGUAGCUUCAACACACACAAGAUUUUAACACUCAAAAGUGCUAUGUCAGUCGGAACUUUAAGUCCGCCUGAUUAAACUAAGAAGAAGAGAGAUGCCCUGGAGACGAAAGAAUGCUUCUCUUGUUAUUGAUAAUACCUAUGUGAUGUGAGAAUGUAGUCUGCAGCUUUGCAAUUCUUUUUUAUAUGGAUUGAGCAACAGUUAUCUUUUUGUACAAAUAUAUGCACAGAAAACAUUUUUCUUCUUUUACUUUCCAGCUUCUUCAUUCCUUAUUUACUAGUUAAUUGUUUUCUCAAUCUGAAAACAGGCAUGUGGUUUAUUGCUAUACAUUGGGAUUUAAAUUUA